rnacentral:rRNA from 1 species
CAGCCGCCGCGGGAAUACGAGGGGGGCAAGCGUUGUUCGGAUUUAUUGGGCGUAAAGGGUGCGUAGGCGGUUUGGCAAGUCUUGUGUGAAAUCUUCGGGCUCAACCCGAAGCCUGCACGAGAAACUACCGGGCUUGAGUAUUGGAGAGGUGAGUGGAAUUUCCGGUGUAGCGGUGAAAUGCGUAGAUAUCGGAAGGAACACCUGUGGCGAAAGCGGCUCACUGGACAAUAACUGACGCUGAUGCACGAAAGCUAGGGGAGCAAACAGGAUUAGAUACCCGCGUAGUCCCUGUCUCUUAUAC